CAGGCAGUACCAACAGCUGGAAUAGAAUAGAAUAGAAUCACAACAAAUAUCAUUCAAUUUGUUCGAAUGAAAUGAUAACACGGCGCCAUUGGCCACGGGUUACAGACGCGGAUUGGGUUGAGUUUACCAAACGGGUCGAAAAGAGGAAUUACAUGUAGUAGUGCCGAUAAAUGUGCGGCGUAAUCAUCAUAGAGUGGUCAUUCGUUGAUCGGUGGAUUGAAUUGAAAUUAAAUUAAAUUUAAAUCAAAUCAACCGACGCGUCUGCGUGGCGCCGCGUGGGAGCGUGCGCGUCUCAGUGCAGGUAGUAGGCGACGAGGGAGACGAGGAGCGCGGCGGCGCCGGGCGCGCCGGCGAUGGCGCCGCUGGUGGCCGGGGCUCCGGCGGCUGCUCCGGCAGUCGCGCCGGCGGCCGCGCCGGUCGCGCCGGGGGACUCGGCCGGCGCCUCGGCGGCCGGGGUGGUCGCCGCGACCAGGGAGGCGGAGGCCACCAGGGCGAUCAGCACGGCGCAGGCGAUCUUCUUCAUCUCCAUGGCUUCUGCCUCUCUCUCCUCGCGGGUACGGUACGGUUGCACGGGGCCUGCGCAAAAGAAACAAACAGCAAGCGGCUAGGCGGUCGAGGAGGAGGGGGAGAGGUCGGCCGGCGAGGCGCGGUUUAUUCCGGUGGUGGGAGCGGGGCGGGGGGAGGGCGGCUCGGUCGCUCUCUGCAAGGCCUGGGAGAGGGUGGGGUGGCGCGGCGCCGCGUUUUGUAGGGCGCGCGAGCGGCCAUGAGAGGGCCUCGCCUGCCCGUCGGUUGCCGCCCUGCCCAAAUUAGCUUCCGUACGGAUGGCCAUUAGCGCGCGGCGGGAGCAUGCGGACGACAUUGCCUUAC
rnacentral:lncRNA from 1 species